UUUUAUUUGAGAGUUUGAUCCUGGCUCAGGAUGAACGCUGGCGGCGUGCCUAACACAUGCAAGUUGAGCGAUUUACUUCGGUAAAGAGCGGCGGACGGGUGAGUAACGCGUGGGUAACCUACCCUGUACACACGGAUAACAUACCGAAAGGUAUGCUAAUACGGGAUAAUAUAUUUGAGAGGCAUCUCUUGAAUAUCAAAGGUGAGCCAGUACAGGAUGGACCCGCGUCUGAUUAGCUAGUUGGUAAGGUAACGGCUUACCAAGGCGACGAUCAGUAGCCGACCUGAGAGGGUGAUCGGCCACAUUGGAACUGAGACACGGUCCAAACUCCUACGGGAGGCAGCAGUGGGGAAUAUUGCACAAUGGGCGAAAGCCUGAUGCAGCAACGCCGCGUGAGUGAUGAAGGCCUUCGGGUCUUAACUCUCUGUCCUGCAGGAAAAUAUUGACGGUACUUGAGGAGGAAGCCCCGGCUAA
rnacentral:rRNA from 1 species